CGACGGCCGAGGUGGCCGUUGGCGCACGUGGGGCAUUUCGCUUGGAAAGGCUCAGCAGCCUGUGUGGCGUCUGCGGUGGCAGCCUCCAUUAGAGGAAAUGUCUCUUCUCCCAGUCAGGAGUUAACCACCUGCUGUAACUUCCUCUUUAGCAUCGCCAGAGGAAACUAAGUAUGACUGUGCCUUCACUCUGCAGAAAGAAAAUGAGUGGCAAAGGAGUUGCGAAGGGAUUCCUGAGCCUUUAUGCCAGCUGGAAGCUUAAGGCCUUGGUAUUUGAGACUUCACCCUUCAAAAUGUCUUGGAGGAUGGCCCAGCAACCAGCCAAAUGGCCCAAUGGCCUAGCCCAGUGGAGACGGUCUCAGCUUUUGACAAGCUAGCCGGAGAAAGGGCUGGACAGGAAGGGGCCCACUGGACAGCGAAUAUUGAUAGGGCCCCUGGGAGGAUCAAUUUUCCCCUCCAACAGUGCCUGGCUCCCAUUAUCAGAUUAGAUGCAAAGUGGGCUGGCAUGCCAGGGGGUGACAGGAACAGUGUCUCCAGAAAUCCUCUGUGAAGACACCCAAGUAUUGUUCAGAAGUGGCCCUGUAUCUGGAAGAGGGAAAACUGCACCCACUUCUUGCAGACAUACAGUUCCAGCUCCCCCCACAGGACUUGCUCAUACAUCCAACAAAUAUUUAAUCAGUGCCCACCAUCUGCCACUGUGCCAGGUGCCCGGCCUCAUCAUGAGUCAGGCAGAGGUGGUCUGUGCAGUUUUCCCACAAUGUGAGAGGGUGCUGAGAAGACUUUUAACGCUUAUUUAACUACGGAAAUAACUCUUGGUUUGGUACCUACUACAAAAUAAAAACAAGCGCUUGUUGAUAAUUUCUGGAUGGAUGACUGUGGAAAGCUGGAGGAGACUGAGGAUCAAUUUGCUCUAAUGAACCUUCCCUUGACUAUCAUCUCCGUUACCUCCUGCCGCAUCCCUACGGCAAAUAUGCAAGACUCUCACGCAGCUAAUUUCCAGGGGUUUGCAGUCUGGGGAGGAAGCAGAAAGCACAUCCCUCACUGACCCUGAGGAGGGGCAAAUCUCUGGUAGCAGUCACAGGUACGUGCUGUACACACUUCCCAUCCUUUGAGCCUUCCCAGCUGGAGAGCACCAAGAGAACGCAGUUGGGGAGGCCCCGAAAGAUGAAGGGUUGUUGAGCUUGAAGGCAGUGAAAAAGUAAAUGGAAGAAAGCUCUCUGCCCUCCACUGCCUAAAUGCAGGAUAUAGAUUUAGAAGGAUAAAAGGGGUCUGCUCCCUCUCUCGACCAGGGAAAAGUUAACCACUGAAGACAACUUUAGACUCUUAUGGGCCUGGAGCUGGAACCAGAGGAAUGGACAUGAAGGCGCUUUACUAACUCUAUUUAUCUGCCAGUUACUUACCUUUCUACAAGUUCUCCCCUUAGACACUCAAAGUUCUUUUCCUUUGUCCUGUCGCUUCCCUAAAACUUGGCUUUUCUUUGUUGAAGAUGCUAUACAAGCUGGAAUUCAAAGCUACCACUUUGAGAACUACUCAAUUCCUGCGUGUCUCCCAGGCAGAUGUGAAA
rnacentral:lncRNA from 1 species